CACAUCGGCCGGGAAUCGAACCUGGGUCGCCCGCGUGGCAGGCGAGCAUUCUAUCACUGAACCACCGAUGG